UUUGACAUGCAGGUGAUCGCCGUUGAAAGACGGUUUCCUCUUCGGAGGCACCUGCACAGGUGCUGCAUGGCUGUCGUCAGCUCGUGUCGUGAGAUGUUGGGUUAAGUCCCGCAACGAGCGCAACCCUUUACUCCCCAGUUGCCAUCAGGUAAAGCGUGGGAACUCGUGGGGAGACUGCCGGUGAUAAACCGGAGGAAGGCGGGGAUGACGUCAAGUCCUCAUGGCCCUUACAUCCCGGGCUACACACGUGCUACAAUGGCAGGUACAGAGGGCUGCGAAGCCGCGAGGUGGAGCGAAUCCCAGAAAACCUGUCUCAGUCCGGAUUGAAGUCUGCAACUCGACUUCAUGAAGGCGGAAUCGCUAGUAACCGCGAAUCAGCAGGUCGCGGUGAAUACGUUCCCGGGCCUU
rnacentral:rRNA from 1 species